rnacentral:rRNA from 1 species
GGGCGUAAAGGGCUCGUAUGUGGUUGAUCGCCUCGGAAGUGUAAUCUUGGGGCUUAACCCUGAGCGUGCUUUCGAUACGGGUUGACUUGAGGAAGGUAGGGGAGAAUGGAAUUCCUGGUGGAGCGGUGGAAUGCGCAGAUAUCAGGAGGAACACCAGUGGCGAAGGCGGUUCUCUGGGCCUUUCCUGACGCUGAGGAGCGAAAGCGUGGGGAGCGAACAGGCUUAGAUACCCUGGUAGUCCACGCUGUAAACGGUGGGUACUAGGUGUGGGGUCCAUUCCACGGGUUCCGUGCCGUAGCUAACGCUUUAAGUACCCCGCCUGGGGAGUACGGCCGCAAGGCUAAAACUCAAAGGAAUUGACGGGGCCCCGCACAAGCGGCGGAGCAUGCGGAUUAAUUCGAUGCAACGCGUAGAACCUUACCUGGGUUUGACAUGGAUCGGGAGUGCUCAGAGAUGGGUGUGCCUCUUUUGGGGUCGGUUCACAGGUGGUGCAUGGCUGUCGUCAGCUCGUGUCGUGAGAUGUUGGGUUAAGUCCCGCAACGAGCGCAACCCUUGUUCACUGUUGCCAGCACGUUAUGGUGGGGACUCAGUGGAGACCGCCGGGGUCAACUCGGAGGAAGGUGGGGAUGACGUCAAGUCAUCAUGCCCCUUAUGUCCAGGGCUUCACGCAUGCUACAAUGGCUGGUACAGAGAGUGGCGAGCCUGUGAGGGUGAGCGAAUCUCGGAAAGCCGGUCUCAGUUCGGAUUGGGGUCUGCAACUCGACCUCAUGAAGUCGGAGUCGCUAGUAAUCGCAGAUCAGCAACGCUGCGGUGAAUACGUUCCCGG